CGUGCCACGUGUCCCACGUCUCCCAGUGGGAGACGUUGGAUGUCCCCUUGGCCAUUUAAUGAAUUUUGGGUCUUCUUCUUCCUCAUAACACCAAACAGAGAGAGCACACCAAACAGAGAGCACGAAAGGGGCUGCGAUUUUAGGGUUUUCAAGAUGGUUAGGUCACUAUUAUAGGGGAAAUGCUGCCCGAUAUUAUUUAGGAUAAUAAACGAUUAGUUGAGAACGGGCAUUACUUGAUUGAACAUUCGAGUCCCAGGCAUUACUUGAGAACGCUAACAAGCACAUCAUAUACAGAGGCACAAAUUGAUGAGUUGCGACAAGAAUGGGCGACAUAUAUGUUGCCGAUAAUCCAAAGUUACCGACCUCGUUGAUAGGUUUUUUUUUAAUUUUUUAACUCUUUCUUCAUACACAAUGCAAUAUUUGUUCAUUUUGAAUAUUUCUAACAAAUAUUGUAUUUCUUGUAUAUAUCUAACAAAUAUAUUUUUUUAUUUCAAUUUAAAUUAAUAUUAUUUCAAUUUAAUUAAUUUAAAUUUAGAUUAAAAUAAUUUCAAUUUAAAUUAAUAUUAUUUCAAUUUAAUUAAUUAUUAAAUUAAUUUCAAUUUAGAUUAAAAUAAUUUCAAUUUAAAUUAAAAUAAUUUCAAUUUAAAUUAAUAUUAUUUCAAUUUAAAUUAAUAUUAUUUCAAUUUAAUUAAUUAUUAAAUCAAAUUAAAAUAAUAUUAAUUAUAAAUUUAUUUAAUUUAU